UAGUGCAAAUCUAAGAAGAAAGCAAAUUAACAAGAUGGCAGAAAAGGAGAAAACAGAGAGGUUACGGCAGAAGCGUUCAGCAGCCCAGACUGCGUUCACUAAAAGAGCCAACCAUCUCACCUCCAGGGCCAAGGCGCUAGAAGAGAGGGAUCUAAAGGCUGAGUGGAGAGAGUUAAAAGGAGAUCAUUCCAGAGUGGAAGAUGCAGGAUUUGAGUAUGCUAUGGCCCUACGAGAAUUAGAAGAUGAAGAGGCCACAAAAAAGGCAGAUCAGGUUGACGAGAAAACAUUGGAGUGCGAUCGCAAGUUCGAUGCAGUUAAACACCUCAUCCAAAACAGCUUCUGGACCAUAUUUGCUGAGGAGCAGAUUUCCACCCUCUUAAACGAGGCUAACUCAGCCCUGGAUCAGGCCGAAGCAACUGACCAUCUGCAGCUGUCUAGGAAGGAGUGUGAACUGAUAAAUAGAAACUUAGAACGAGAGGUCUGUGAAGUCAACAGUCUAGUGACUGAGUGGACAGAAAUGAUCCCUCAUGCAGUGUUAACGGAAUCUAGAGACCGUUGCAGGAUAAUGAGAAAGCUACAAGAGAGACUGUGGGAUAAGUGGGCAUGGCGGCGCAGUACUUGGUCUGAUGAUGAAGAGGAGCAGAAAGUUACUGGGAAGAACGAUGACAACGAGGAAAGUCAGACCGGUAAGCAAGCUGUGUCUAUUAGUACUUCUCCCAACCGUAAACUGUCCUUUCCCGUAGACGAUCAUAUCCCUAUAAGUGAAGUUCAACAUAACCCACCCAUCGUUCCCACCUAUCCUAGUUAUGGUGGACCUCCAAAUGCUACAAGUACGCAAUUGCAAGUCCAAGGUGCUCCCAACAUGUACUCAGGGCCAUAUCAUUUCAAGCCCCAAAUCAUGCUGGAACGUGCACGUCUGCCUACAUUCUCUGGUAACAUGAGAGAUUACUACCGUUGGAAAGCUGAAUGGGAGGACCUUCAGCAGCUGGGGAACCCACAUGGUUUGGAAAAUAUAAGAAAGUUCCAUCUUAUAGGAAGUUUAGACGACAAAGUCAAAAGAGACCUCGUCUUGUCCAGCUGUGGAUCUGCCACCGAUGUGUUCCGGCUCCUGGACAAUAAAUAUGGAAACAAGCCGAAAAUAGUGCUACUUAUCUCGAAAGAAGUACAUGGCCUACCGCCUGUAAGGGGAAAUAGCCCUAGAAAGACGAUCGAAUUAAUUCAAGCUGUGGAAAGAGCUCUUCGUGACCUCCAAGUUCUGGGGGAAGAAGAUGCUGUGAAAAAUCGGUUAGUAGUACAGUCGAUUGAGAGUAAGUUACCAGACUCUCUGAAAGAAAAGUGGUUAACUCAUAAGAAUGACUCUGUAAGCGGUUUUUCACCCAGAAAUCAUUUUUAUUGUCUAAUGGAGUACCUGAAAAACAGGAGGACAUUCUUGAAGAGUUAGAUCAACUGCAGCCUAGCUCAAAAGACUAUACUGAGAGGUCACAGGAAAAGAGUAGAGAAAGGAAGGUAUUUACCAGGGCUACAUCUAUCCAAAAGGGCUCUCAACCUAGCUUGUGCAUAACCUGUGGGGACGAAGGGCAUGCAGGUAGAUUGUUUGCUUGCAAAGCCUUCAGGAAACUCAAUCUGUCAAGCAAGAAAGCUCAGUUAAAGAAGUCAGGGGUAUGCCUCAAAUGUUUGCGCAUCCAUAAAGAGGAUGGCUACUGCACUGGAAGGUUUCUAUGCUCCAAAGAAGACUGUCAGAAAGCAGGGUCCUCAGACCACAACUACUUACUCUGCCCGUUACCACAGAUGAAAAGGAGCGAUAAAAAGAAUGAAGAGCAAU
ensembl:lncRNA